rnacentral:rRNA from 1 species
GGCCUUGACAUACUAAGAACUUUCCAGAGAUGGAUUGGUGCCUUCGGGAACUUAGAUACAGGUGCUGCAUGGCUGUCGUCAGCUCGUGUCGUGAGAUGUUGGGUUAAGUCCCGCAACGAGCGCAACCCUUUUCCUUAUUUGCCAGCGGGUAAUGCCGGGAACUUUAAGGAUACUGCCAGUGACAAACUGGAGGAAGGCGGGGACGACGUCAAGUCAUCAUGGCCCUUACGGCCAGGGCUACACACGUGCUACAAUGGUCGGUACAAAGGGUUGCUACCUCGCGAGAGGAUGCUAAUCUCAAAAAGCCGAUCGUAGUCCGGAUCGCAGUCUGCAACUCGACUGCGUGAAGUCGGAAUCGCUAGUAAUCGCGGAUCAGAAUGCCGCGGUGAAUACGUUCCCGGGCCUUGUACACAUCGCCCGUCACACCAUGGGAGUUUGUUGCACCAGAAGUAGGUAGUCUAACCGCAAGGAGGACGCUUACCACGGUGUGGCCGAUGACUGGGGUGAAGUCGUAACAAGGUAGGCGUAGAUGA